UACGAAUGGGGCUAGCGUUGUUCGGAAUUACUGGGCGUAAAGCGCACGUAGGCGGCUUUGUAAGUUAGAGGUGAAAGCCCGGAGCUCAACUUCGGAAUGGCCUUUAAGACUGCAUCGCUUGAAUCAUGGAGAGGUCAGUGGAAUUCCGAGUGUAGAGGUGAAAUUCGUAGAUAUUCGGAAGAACACCAGUGGCGAAGGCGACUGACUGGACAUGUAUUGACGCUGAGGUGCGAAAGCGUGGGGAGCAAACAGG
rnacentral:rRNA from 1 species